AACGAACGCUGGCGGCGUGCCUAACACAUGCAAGUCGUGCGAGAAAGUUCCUUCGGGAGCGAGUAAAAGCGGCGCACGGGUGAGUAACACGUAGGUAACCUGCCCCCCAGUCUGGAACAACUAGAGGAAAACUCUAGCUAAUGCCGGAUGAGACCACGAUCCCCUUCGGGGGUUGCGGCCAAAGAUGGCCUCUACUUGUAAGCUAUCGCUGAGGGAUGGGGCCUGCGGGCCAUUAGCUUGUGGUGAGGUAACGGCUCACCAAGGCCGUGAUGGCUAGCUGGUCUGAGAGGAUGACCAGCCACACUGGGACUGAGACACGGCCCAGACUCCUACGGAGCAGCAGUGGGGAAUAUUGCGGCAAAUGGGCGAAAAGCCUGACGCAGCGACGCCGCGUGGGU
rnacentral:rRNA from 1 species